rnacentral:rRNA from 1 species
GACGAACGCCGUUGGCGUGCUUAACACAUGCAAGUCGAACGGAAAGGCCCUGCUUUUGUGGGGUGCUCGAGUGGCGAACGGGUGAGUAACACGUGAGUAACCUGCCCUUGACUUUGGGAUAACUUCAGGAAACUGGGGCUAAUACCGGAUAGGAGCUCCUGCUGCAUGGUGGGGGUUGGAAAGUUUCGGCGGUUGGGGAUGGACUCGCGGCUUAUCAGCUUGUUGGUGGGGUAGUGGCUUACCAAGGCUUUGACGGGUAGCCGGCCUGAGAGGGUGACCGGCCACAUUGGGACUGAGAUACGGCCCAGACUCCUACGGGAGGCAGCAGUGGGGAAUAUUGCACAAUGGGCGGAAGCCUGAUGCAGCAACGCCGCGUGCGGGAUGACGGCCUUCGGGUUGUAAACCGCUUUCGCCUGUGACGAAGCGUGAGUGACGGUAAUGGGUAAAGAAGCACCGGCUAACUACGUGCCAGCAGCCGCGGUGAUACGUAGGGUGCGAGCGUUGUCCGGAUUUAUUGGGCGUAAAGGGCUCGUAGGUGGUUGAUCGCGUCGGAAGUGUAAUCUUGGGGCUUAACCCUGAGCGUGCUUUCGAUACGGGUUGACUUGAGGAAGGUAGGGGAGAAUGGAAUUCCUGGUGGAGCGGUGGAAUGCGCAGAUAUCAGGAGGAACACCAGUGGCGAAGGCGGUUCUCUGGGCCUUUCCUGACGCUGAGGAGCGAAAGCGUGGGGAGCGAACAGGCUUAGAUACCCUGGUAGUCCACGCUGUAAACGGUGGGUACUAGGUGUGGGGUCCAUUCCACGGGUUCCGUGCCGUAGCUAACGCUUUAAGUACCCCGCCUGGGGAGUACGGCCGGCAAGGCUAAAACUCAAAGGAAUUGACGGGGCCCCGCACAAGCGGCGGAGCAUGCGGAUUAAUUCGAUGCAACGCGUAGAACCUUACCUGGGUUUGACAUGGAUCGGGAGUGCUCAGAGAUGGGUGUGCCUCUUUUGGGGUCGGUUCACAGGUGGUGCAUGGCUGUCGUCAGCUCGUGUCGUGAGAUGUUGGGUUAAGUCCCGCAACGAGCGCAACCCUUGUUCACUGUUGCCAGCACGUUAUGGUGGGGACUCAGUGGAGACCGCCGGGGUCAACUCGGAGGAAGGUGGGGAUGACGUCAAGUCAUCAUGCCCCUUAUGUCCAGGGCUUCACGCAUGCUACAAUGGCUGGUACAGAGAGUGGCGAGCCUGUGAGGGUGAGCGAAUCUCGGAAAGCCGGUCUCAGUUCGGAUUGGGGUCUGCAACUCGACCUCAUGAAGUCGGAGUCGCUAGUAAUCGCAGAUCAGCAACGCUGCGGUGAAUACGUUCCCGGGGCU